AUGAACGCUAGCGGCAGGCUUAACACAUGCAAGUCGAGGGGCAGCAUAAUGGAUAGCAAUAUCUAUGGUGGCGACCGGCGCACGGGUGCGUAACGCGUAUGCAACCUACCUUUAACAGGGGGAUAACACUGAGAAAUUGGUACUAAUACCCCAUAAUAUCAUAGAAGGCAUCUUUUAUGGUUGAAAAUUCCGAUGGUUAGAGAUGGGCAUGCGUUGUAUUAGCUAGUUGGUGGGGUAACGGCUCACCAAGGCGACGAUACAUAGGGGGACUGAGAGGUUAACCCCCCACACUGGUACUGAGACACGGACCAGACUCCUACGGGAGGCAGCAGUGAGGAAUAUUGGUCAAUGGACGCAAGUCUGAACCAGCCAUGCCGCGUGCAGGAUGACGGCUCUAUGAGUUGUAAACUGCUUUUGUACGAGGGUAAACGCAGAUACGUGUAUCUGUCUGAAAGUAUCGUACGAAUAAGGAUCGGCUAACUCCGUGCCAGCAGCCGCGGUAAUACGGAGGAUUCAAGCGUUAUCCGGAUUUAUUGGGUUUAAAGGGUGCGUAGGCGGUUUGAUAAGUUAGAGGUGAAAUUUCGGGGCUCAACCCUGAACGUGCCUCUAAUACUGUUGAGCUAGAGAGUAGUUGCGGUAGGCGGAAUGUAUGGUGUAGCGGUGAAAUGCUUAGAGAUCAUACAGAACACCGAUUGCGAAGGCAGCUUACCAAACUAUAUCUGACGUUGAGGCACGAAAGCGUGGGGAGCAAACAGGAUUAGAUACCCUGGUAGUCCACGCAGUAAACGAUGAUAACUCGUUGUCGGCGAUACACAGUCGGUGACUAAGCGAAAGCGAUAAGUUAUCCACCUGGGGAGUACGUUCGCAAGAAUGAAACUCAAAGGAAUUGACGGGGGCCCGCACAAGCGGAGGAACAUGUGGUUUAAUUCGAUGAUACGCGAGGAACCUUACCCGGGCUUAAAUUGCAGAUGAAUUACGGUGAAAGCCGUAAGCCGCAAGGCAUCUGUGAAGGUGCUGCAUGGUUGUCGUCAGCUCGUGCCGUGAGGUGUCGGGUUAAGUCCCAUAACGAGCGCAACCCCUACCGUUAGUUGCCAUCAGGUCAAGCUGGGCACUCUGGCGGGACUGCCGGUGUAAGCCGAGAGGAAGGUGGGGAUGACGUCAAAUCAGCACGGCCCUUACGUCCGGGGCUACACACGUGUUACAAUGGUAGGUACAGAGGGCAGCUACCUAGCGAUGGGAUGCGAAUCUCGAAAGCCUAUCUCAGUUCGGAUUGGAGGCUGAAACCCGCCUCCAUGAAGUUGGAUUCGCUAGUAAUCGCGCAUCAGCCAUGGCGCGGUGAAUACGUUCCCGGGCCUUGUACACACCGCCCGUCAAGCCAUGGGAGCCGGGGGUGCCUGAAGUUCGUGACCGCAAGGAGCGACCUAGGGCAAAACUGGUGACUGGGGCU
rnacentral:rRNA from 1 species